rnacentral:rRNA from 1 species
CGAAGGGAGCUAGCGUUGUUCGGAAUCACUGGGCGUAAAGCGCACGUAGGCGGAUGUGUCAGUCAGGGGUGAAAUCCCGGAGCUCAACUUCGGAACUGCCUUUGAUACAGCACAUCUGGAGUCCGGAAGAGGUGGGUGGAAUUCCUAGUGUAGAGGUGAAAUUCGUAGAUAUUAGGAAGAACACCGGUGGCGAAGGCGGCCCACUGGUCCGAUACUGACGCUGAGGUGCGAAAGCGUGGGGAGCAAACAGG